AGAACAAGCAGGUUGAGCAAUAACGCCCCCAUGGUCUUUGUGUCUAUUUUUUCUCCCCAUCCCCCCACACGCCUGGGAGAAAGUACCCCAAAGCCUUUGAUUGCCAUUAACCUACCAUGGAGUUUGCUGAGAGAUAGUCUGACAAAAGUGAAGAACUACACACAGGCUAUCGUGGAGGGUCCUAAGAGCGGGAACAGAGGGAGCAAGCACGUUUCUUUGGAUUGAGGGAAUAACCUAAGGAACUAGGUGUCGUCUGCCCUGCUCUUGCCUGGAGGGAAGUCCAGCAUCAGAAGCCUGUUCUUUGGGACAGACGCAGGCACUGAUCCCAAAGAGGGACCUGAUGCAGGUUUGGAAGACAGUGUUCUCUCCUAAAUCAGCAGGCUGUUUUUCGUCCUUUAGUGUUGAGAUUGAAUUUUCUCUCUCUGCUGCUUAAAAACACAAGCGCUUCUCACUGGCUGGGUGGCACAGGCGGUUGCGGCGUUGUCAUCCCGAACACCAAAAGGGUUGCAGGUUCGAUCUCCGGUCAGGACACAUACCCAGGUUGUGGGUUCAAUCCCAGGUUGGGGCACAUGCAGGAAGCAGCUCAUCAGUGUCUCCCCCACCCUCCACCCUGGUCUCUGUUUUCCUCUCUCUCUCAAAUUGAUAAACAUAUCCUCUGGUUAGGGUUUAAAAAACACACGCACACAAAUAAUUCCCUGAAAUGGACAUUUUUGGUUAUCUUUUGGCAUUAUCUGGACAAAAGGGAAGAGUAACUAGUUUCUGUACUGAAGCCUUUUUUUCCUUGGAAGUGAUCAAAUUCAUAACAGAACUAACCUUUUCUUCCUACAGACUAUGUACUUUGCCAUCUGUAAUGCACACCCACGUUUUUUGUGCUCAUUAUACGCGGGACUCUCAUUCCCACUAUUUUACCCAUGCCAAACACAGGUGGUUUAAACAACAACAAAAAUCUCUUUCCCAAAGAAUUAAGAAUGUACAAAGCAGAGAAACAACACGGGUGUGGCAUGGGGAUGAGGAGAAACAAAAAAGCAUAAACAAGGAAGCUGAAGAAAUAACCUUGUGAAUUAAAUUAGAGCGGCGACCCCAGAUUGAGUACUAACCGCGCAGCUUUCGCUACGCACAGGCGCCACGCGACUCUGGGCAGGCUCGCCCUUUGCACCUCGGCUCGGCGCCCCAUGGCCCUACCCUGGACGGGGACAGGACUGAGAGGACCAAAAGCCGUCGCCGUUUUGGUCACACUGCACAAGCAGUAAACAGCACCGUUUUUUGCUUCCUGGCUCUAGCUGCUAUUCGCCAGGUCUCCCGCUGUUCAUGAUUCAGCCUUCGAAGCCACAUCUGCGCACCACGGAAAAAUGAAUGAACUGGCCAGUGGUCACCUGGCCGCCGGGCCGCCGGGAAGCUCGCCUGCACGGACAGCCUGUGGCCGACCAGCAUGCCCAGCGUUGGCUUGGAUGUCCUGUCCACACAGAGAUAUGCUAGACGUUUCCAGAGCAGGCUCCACAGUGCGAAUGAGUGAUGGAAGACACGACGAUACGAGUACCUGCGGUCACGAAACUUCAGAGAGACUGGGUUACAGAAAAUCGGUUUUCUUUCCAUGGAACUCAGUACCCUCAACACGUAAACACGCACUGUGGAUUUUCCAAGGGAGGAGACUGUAUUUGACUGACCAUAGAACUAGUCCUCCCCAAAGAAUUAGUAUUUCAAAAGGAUAAUGUAUGAGCCAUCUUUGCUUUAAAAAAAAAAAAAAGCUUUAAAAAAUAUUCUGCCACUGUUUCUUACUGAUUCACAGCUACUCUUUUCUUCCGCCAUUCCAUCACCCCCUAGACCAGGGAUGUGCAAACAUUUCUACAUAAGGGACAAUUCAUAAAAAAUGAAACUAUUAGAUUGUUCAAAGUGAAAGAGCUUUAUUGCACUGGGUAGGAGAUAUUUUUUAUGACUUAAUUUAUGUACCAUAGUGGAUUCUAAGGGUGAUAUUGAGGAGUAAGAAAAUGCCUGAUAUGUAGAAAGUACCAAUGAAUAUUCUCCCAAUAUAACUUCUUAUAAUUACAGUAGCCCCGUGAGAUUAACUCCUAUUGGCUCACUCAACUUACGGAUGAGAAAAUGGAGACUCCGAGUAGUUAAGGAAGUUCCCCAAAGUCACACAGUAGUACACAGUGGGUCAAGAUCGGCUGACCCAAGAGUUUGAACUCUCAACUGGAAAAAUUUUCCAUGGACAUGGCCCUGGGCCAAGCAGAAGGCAAAAGCUCACUUGGCAGCUUAAGUUGUACUAAAUGCUUCAUUUAAGGGUGCGGUUCUCUGGGCUGGAUUGGACUUCAGUCCUACCGGCAGGGACACUAUUGGACCAGCUCUGAAUAGAGCACAGGUUUGUAACAACCUGCAAUGCCUUCUGUACUACUGAAAUAAGCCCUGUAAAUGUGAACAAGACCUUCCCCAACCUAAAGUAUGUCCACUUCCUCGGGACAGCCCAAAGUGGCUGUGAAUUCAUUCAUUGGCUCAUUCAUUCAUUUUAUUCUCUUGUCAAUGACUAUGUCCAAAGUGCCAGUUAGAAGUUAGGAAUUAUAACAUCGUGAAUACUAUGUUCAGCCCACAAAGACAAAAGUGUCCACGUUCCUCACUCAAACUCAGUGACUACCAUCAAAGCAUUGUGAAUAUUAAAAAGUUGGAAUUUAAGCCCUGGCUGGUGUUGCUCAGUGGGUUGAGUGCCGGCCUGUGAACCAAGGGGUCGCCGGUUCGAUUCCCAGUCAGGGCACAUGCCUGGGUUGCUGGUCAGGUCCCCAGCCUAAGGUGUGUGAAAGGCAACCACACACUGAUGUUUCUUUCCUUUCCUCCUUCCC